GGGCCGCUGGCUCAUGCUUGGUCAGAGCAGCAGACGCAUAAUGCGUUGGUGCCGAGUCCGACUCACGGGAGGCCCACCA
rnacentral:tRNA from 1 species